UGGGGAAUAUUGGACAAUGGGCGCAAGCCUGAUCCAGCCAUGCCGCGUGAGUGAUGAAGGCCCUAGGGUUGUAAAGCUCUUUCACCGGUGAAGAUAAUGACGGUAACCGGAGAAGAAGCCCCGGCUAACUUCGUGCCAGCAGCCGCGGUAAUACGAAGGGGGCUAGCGUUGUUCGGAUUUACUGGGCGUAAAGCGCACGUAGGCGGGCUUUUAAGUCAGGGGUGAAAUCCCGGGGCUCAACCCCGGAACUGCCUUUGAUACUGGAAGUCUUGAGUAUGGUAGAGGUGAGUGGAAUUCCGAGUGUAGAGGUGAAAUUCGUAGAUAUUCGGAGGAACACCAGUGGCGAAGGCGGAUCACUGGACCAUUACUGACGCUGAGGUGCGAAAGCGUGGGGAGCAAACAGG
rnacentral:rRNA from 1 species